GAUGAACGCUGGCGGCGUGCCUAAUACAUGCAAGUCGAGCGAACAGACGAGGAGCUUGCUCCUCUGACGUUAGCGGCGGACGGGUGAGUAACACGUGGAUAACCUACCUAUAAGACUGGGAUAACUUCGGGAAACCGGAGCUAAUGCCGGAUAAUAUAUUGAACCGCAUGGUUCAAUAGUGAAAGACGGUUUUGCUGUCACUUAUAGAUGGAUCCGCGCCGCAUUAGCUAGUUGGUAAGGUAACGGCUUACCAAGGCGACGAUGCGUAGCCGACCUGAGAGGGUGAUCGGCCACACUGGAACUGAGACACGGUCCAGACUCCUACGGGAGGCAGCAGUAGGGAAUCUGCCGCAAUGGGCGAAAGCCUGACGGAGCAACGCCGCGUGAGUGAUGAAGGUCUUCGGAUCGUAAAACUCUGUUAUUAGGGAAGAACAAAUGUGUAAGUAACGAUGCACGUCUUGACGGUACCUAAGCAGAAAGCCACGGCUAACUACGU
rnacentral:rRNA from 1 species